rnacentral:rRNA from 1 species
AACGAACGCUGGCGGCAGGCUUAACACAUGCAAGUCGAGCGAGACCUUCGGGUCUAGCGGCGGACGGGUGAGUAACGCGUGGGAACGUGCCCUUCUCUACGGAAUAGCCCCGGGAAACUGGGAGUAAUACCGUAUACGCCCUUUGGGGGAAAGAUUUAUCGGAGAAGGAUCGGCCCGCGUUGGAUUAGGUAGUUGGUGGGGUAAUGGCCCACCAAGCGGACGAUCCAUAGCUGGUUUGAGAGGAUGAUCAGCCACACUGGGACUGAGACACGGCCCAGACUCCUACGGGAGGCAGCAGUGGGGAAUCUUAGACAAUGGGGGCAACCCUGAUCUAGCCAUGCCGCGUGAGUGAUGAAGGCCUUAGGGUUGUAAAGCUCUUUCAGCUGGGAAGAUAAUGACGUUACCAGCAGAAGAAGCCCCGGCUAACUCCGUG